CGCCAGGUGGCUGUGACCCCACUUCGAGCCAGGCCCCGCCUCCCCGCGAGCGGACCCGGGGGCAGGAUGCGCCCCUCCUGCUUGUAGAGCCCAUUUCACAGCCCACCCGGCCCGGUGGGGACGACCCCGUCCCCAGGGCCCGCGUUUACCCCCAUAAAGCUUCCAGAGGAGGUCGUCCGCGGAGCAGAGUAGCGUUUCAGUAAUUUCAAGUUCUACUUAGACUCCUAUCUGAAGGCGGCUCCCCAUUGAGGUAAAAGAAGAGGUUUGAACUUAAGAGCACAAUGCACAGGUCUUUUCUGAUCUGAACAAUGGCUAUAGCUGUGGCUCCCCAAAUCCAGACUCCUCAAGUACAAGAAGAGCUUCAAAGAGUGAAGCCCGAAGAUUCCCACUGGGAACAGAAAGUUUUCCUUCAAAGGCAUGACCCUGGACCUGAGACGUGCCAGCGCUUUUGGUAUUUUCACUAUCAAGAAGCAUCUGGACCCCGGGAGGCCCUCAACACCUGGAGUUCUAUCAUCAAUGGCUGAGACCAGAGAAGUGUAUGAAAGAGCAGUUCCUGGACUUGCUAGUCCUGGAACAGUUCCUGUCCUUCCCCAGGAGAUCUAGAUCUGGGUUAGAUAAAAGCAUCCACAGAGUGGAGAGGAGGCAGGAAUCUGCCCUGGUGGAAGAUUGGCAGGAAGAACCUGGAAGACAGGAGCGGCAGGCAGUGGUGGCGAUCUCACAGUCAGAACCAGAAGACCAGAUGAUCCACAAUCCCAAAGUGAAACUCGGACCCUUCCACAAGAUCAGUAAGCAGCAACAGUGUGGGGAGAGAGAAGGGACCCUUCCGUGGGGAGAAUGUGAAACCCCUUCCGACUGCAGGAAGUGGGGUAGAGGGUACAGCGCCUUCCCCUCGGAGGAUGUGGUAAUGAGCUGAGGCUGACCACAGGCCCCUCCAAAAGGAAGAAGGGCUUUGGUUGGCAUGUUUUGUAAAACUACGCAGCAGAGCCUGUGGCUCCUGUUGAGAAUGAGGCACUGCUAGUCCUAGUACACAAGGUGUGGGUAACAAUUUUAAGCCUGCUUGGUAGGAAAGGCACAGGUAGGGCUACACUGGAGCAGAGUAAUUCUCAAGACAGGUGGGUGUCCCCAGACCAAUUCAGAUGAUUCACAUGUGUUAUCAAAAUUAGGAGUUCCCGCAGUGGCACAGUGGAUACGAACCUAACUAGUGUCCAUGAGGAUGCGGGUUCAAUUCCUGGCCUCGCUCAGUGGGUUAAGGAUCUGGCGUUGCCAUGAGCUGUGGUGUAGGUUGCAGACAUGGCUCAGAUCUGGCAUUGCUGUGGCUCUGGCUUGACCCCUAGCCUGAGAACCUCCAUAUGCUGAGAGUGCCGCCCUAAAAAGACAAAAGACAAAAAUAAAGAAAUAAAGGAUCCAGCAUUGCCGCAGCUGCAGUGUAAAUCACAACUGCGGCUCAGAUCUGAUUCUUGGCCCCAGGAACUCCAUAUGCUGUGGGGUGGCCAAACAAACAAACAAAAACAACAACAACAAAAAACCCCUGCAGAAUGAAAUCAUAAAACUCUGACAGUCAGUAACCUGGAUGGAUAUGGAAGAGAAAAAUCUGAAACUCUUCUAGGGAUUGAAUCAGAGCUGUAGCCACUGGCCUACACCACAGCCACAGCAACAUGG
ensembl:lncRNA